GAAGUUCCUAACUCCCCAGGACCUCAGAAUGUGACCUUAUUUGGAAAUCGGGUCAUUGCAGAUAUAAUUAGUUCACUUAAGAUGAGGUCAUAUUGGAGCAGAGUGUCCUUAUAAGACAGCUAUGCAAAGACAGACGCACACAGGGAAAACGCCAUGUGAUGAGGAAGGCAGAGGUGGAAGUUACACAGCUGCAAGCCAAGGGGAAUGCCAGAGAUUGCUAGCAAAUCACCAGAGGCUACGAAGAGACACAGAAGGACUCCCCUGCAGCCCUGCUGCUAAUACCUUAAUUUCGCACUUCUAGCCUCCAGAACUAAAUUAGGACACAGAUGCACACAGAAGGAAGCCCAUGUGAAGAUACAGGGAGAAGACAGCCAUCUGCAAGCCCAGGAGAGAAGCCUCAGGAGAAACCACCCCUGCUGACACCUGGAUCUCGGACUUCCAGCCUCUAGAACUGCGAGAGAAUAAAUUUCUGUUGAUUAACCCACCCAGUCUGUAGUACUUUGUUAUGGCAGCCCUAGACUAAUAUAGCACUGAUUACGAUCAUCAGGCAGCAGAAAAAACAUCUUUCAGUGGAUUACUUAAGAGAGAGCAUUUAAAAUCACAAACUUAAGAAAGUACUGAUACUAUGUAUUGUUUUUUAUGUCUUUUUUGUUAAUUUUUUGACAUAGGGUCUCACUCUUUCACCCAGGCUGUAGUGCAAUCAUAGUUCACUGC
rnacentral:lncRNA from 1 species